UAGCGAAGGGGGCUUAGCGUUGCUCGGAAUCACUGGGCGUAAAGCGCACGUAGGUCGGCUUUCUAAGGUCAGGGGUGAAAUCCUGGAGCUCAACUCCAGAACUGCCUUUGAUACUGGAGAGCUUGAGUCCGGAAGAGGUGAGUGGAACUCCGAGUGUAGAGGUGAAAUUCGUAGAUAUUCGGAAGAACACCAGUGGCGAAGGCGGCUCACUGGUCCGGUACUGACGCUGAGGUGCGAAAGCGUGGGGAGCAAACAGG
rnacentral:rRNA from 1 species